GAUGAACGCUGGCGGCGUGCUUAACACAUGCAAGUCGAACGGAAAGGCUCCUGCUUGCAGGGGUACUCGAGUGGCGAACGGGUGAGUAACACGUGGGUGAUCUGCCCUGCACUUCGGGAUAAGCCUGGGAAACUGGGUCUAAUACCGGAUAGGACGAUGGUUUGGAUGCCAUUGUGGAAAGUUUUUUCGGUGUGGGAUGAGCUCGCGGCUUAUCAGCUUGUUGGUGGGGUAAUGGCCUACCAAGGCGUCGACGGGUAGCCGGCCUGAGAGGGUGUACGGCCACAUUGGGACUGAGAUACGGCCCAGACUCCUACGGGAGGCAGCAGUGGGGAAUAUUGCACAAUGGGCGCAAGCCUGAUGCAGCGACGCCGCGUGGGGGAUGACGGCCUUCGGGUUGUAAACUCCUUUCGCUAGGGACGAAGCGCAAGUGACGGUACCUGGAGAAGAAGCACCGGCUAACUACGUG
rnacentral:rRNA from 1 species